GUCGUGUGUGGUGGUGCACGCCUGUAAUCCCAGUGUCUCAGGAGGCUGAGACAGGAGGAUCACAAGGUCAAUGCCAGUCUCAACAAGACAGUGAGGUGCUAGGCAAUCAGUGAGACCCUGUCUCUU
rnacentral:SRP_RNA from 1 species